UAGCGUAUAUUAAAGUUGUUGCGGUUAAAAAGCUCGUAGUUGGAUUUCUGUCGAGGACAGCCGGUCCACACUUUGUGUGAGUAUCUGGUUUGGCCUUAGCAUCCUCUUGAAAAACAGCUCUGCGCUCGAUUGCGUGGACUGGAGUUCAAGACUUUUACUCUGAGGAAAUUAGAGUGUUCACGGCAGGCAAACGCCUUGAAUAUAUUAGCAUGGAAUAAUAAUAUAGGACCUUUGUUCUAUUUUGUUGGUUUCUAGAGCGAAGGUAAUGAUUAAUAGGGAUAAUUGGGGGCAUUCGUAUUAACGCGUCAGAGGUGGAAUUCUUGGAUUGCGUUACGACGAACUACUGCGAAAGCAUUUGCCAAGGAUGUUUUCAUUGAUCAAGAACGAAAGUUAGGGGAUCGAAGACGCUUAGAUACCGUCGUAGUCUUAACCAUAAACUAUGCCGACUAGAGAUUGGAGGUCGUUCUUUUUAUGACUCCUUCAGCACCUUAUGAGAAAUCAAAGUCUUUGGGUUCCGGGGGGAGUAUGG
rnacentral:rRNA from 1 species